rnacentral:rRNA from 1 species
GAUUAAGUUAUUAAGGGCGCACGGUGGAUGCCUUGGCACUAGAAGCCGAAGAAGGACGUUACUAACGACGAUAUGCUUUGGGGAGCUGUAAGUACGCUUUGAUCCAGAGAUUUCCGAAUGGGGAAACCCAGCAUGAGUUAUGUCAUGUUAUCCACAUAUGAAUACAUAGUAUGUGAGAAGGCACACCCGGAGAACUGAAACAUCUUAGUACCCGGAGGAAGAGAAAGAAAACUCGAUUCCCUGAGUAGCGGCGAGCGAAACGGGAAUAGCCCAAACCAAUAGGCUUGCCUAUUGGGGUUGUAG